rnacentral:rRNA from 1 species
GGCGAACGGGCGAGUAUAAAGUUUGUACCUGCCCUGAAGUCGGGGAUAACGCGCCGAAAGGCGUGCUAAUACCGGAUGGUCCCGAGAGGGUAAAGCCGCAAGGCGCUUCAGGAGGGGCAUGCUCCCUAUCAGCUAGUUGGCGGGGUAAAGGCCCACCAAGGCUAUGACGGGUAGUUGGUCUGAGAGGACGGCCAGCCGCAAUGGGACUGAGACACGGCCCAUACUCCUACGGGAGGCAGCAGUGAGGAAUCUUCCGCAAUGGGCGAAAGCCUGACGGAGCGACACCGCGUGGAGGAUGACGCGUUUAUUCGUGUAAACUCCUUUUCUAUGGGAAGAUGAUGACGGUACCAUAGGAAUAAGGGACGGCUAACUACGUGCCAGCAGCCGCGGUAAUACGUAGGUCCCGAGCGUUAUCCGGAAUUACUGGGCGUAAAGAGUUCGUAGGCGGUACGUUAAGUUCGGCAUGAAAGACCGGGGCUCAACCCCGAGUUUGUGCCGGAUACUGGCGAACUAGAAUCCGGGAGAGGUUGGCAGAAUGGUACGAGUAGGGGUGCAAUCCGUUGAUACGUACUGGAAUACCAAAAGCGAAGGCAGCCAACUGGAACGGUAUUGACGCUGAGGAACGAAAGCGUGGGGAGCGAAAAGGAUUAGAUACCCUUGUAGUCCACGCCCUAAACGAUGGAAACUGAGUGUCGGGCCUUGUGCCCGGUGCUUCGAAGCUAACGCAUUAAGUUUCCCGCCUGAGGAGUACGGUCGCAAGAUUAAAACUCAAAUGAAUAGACGGGGACCCGCACAAGCAGAGGAUCAUGCGGUUUAAUUCGACAAUAAACGAGGAACCUCACCCAGGCUUGACAUCCCGAGAACCUUCCGAAACCGGAGGGGUGCCCGCAAGGAGCUCGGAGACAGGCGCUGCAUGGUGUCGUCAGCUCGUGCCUUGGAGGUGUUCGGUAAGUCCGUUACGAGCGCAACCCACGCCGUAAGUACUAUGUCUACGGGACUG